CUUGGUCAUUUAGAGGAAGUAAAAGUCGUAACAAGGUUUCCGUAGGUGAACCUGCGGAAGGAUCAUUAAUGAGAUCAUGCCCCUCGGGGUAGACCUCCCACCCUCUGUUUACAAUACCUUUGUUGCUUUGGCGGCCCCGUCGCAAGACAACCGGCUCCGGCUGGUCAGCGGCCGCCAGAGGACUCAAAACUCAUAUUAUCAUUGUCGUCUGAGUACUAUACAAUAGUUAAAACUUUCAACAACGGAUCUCUUGGUUCUGGCAUCGAUGAAGAACGCAGCGAAAUGCGAUAAGUAGUGUGAACUGCAGAAUUCAGUGAAUCAUCGAAUCUUUGAACGCACAUUGCGCCCUUCGGUAUUCCGUUGGGCAUGCCUGUUCGAGCGUCAUUUAAACCUUCAAGCUCUGCUUGGUGUUGGGUGUUUGUUCCGCCUCUGUGCGUGGACUCGCCUCAAAUUCAUUGGCAGCCGGUAUGUUGGCUUCGUGCGCAGCACAUUGCGUCUCGACUCUGACUAUCUCCUUCCAUCAAGCCUCUUUUUUACUUUGACCUCGGAUCAGGUAGGGAUACCCGCUGAACUUAAGCAUAUCAAUAAGCGGAGGA
rnacentral:rRNA from 1 species